AUGGGAGCAAAAGUAAGAGGUAGAGGUUGCUUUGAUGUUGGGGGUGUUGGUGGUAAUGAGGGUGAUGUUAGGAUAUGUGGUAGUUGAAGUAUGGAGGCUGAGGCUGUGUUGGCGGUGUUGUUGGUGGUGAGGGUGGUGAUGUUAAGAUGUUUAGGAAUUGAAGCAAGAAGGUGGAGGCUGUGUUGGCGGUGUUGUUGGUGGUGAGGGUGGUGAUGUUAAGAUGUUUAGGAGUUGAAGUAAGAAGGUGGAGGCUGUGUUGGCGGUGUUGUUGGUGGUGAGGGUGGUGAUGUUAAGAUGUUUAGGAAUUGAAGCAAGAAGGUGGAGGCUGUGUUGGUGAUGAUGGUGGUGAGCGGAGCCUCGUGUGUGGUAUUGAAGCUCAAAUAGGCGUGAGGACAGAAGGCUUGAGUGCAUGUGUGUGGGACGGAAGCGCCACGGACAUGCCUGGAUGCAGCCGGGUGUGUUUGCGGGGGGGCGGGCGAGGCGGGAACCGGCAGUGGAGUACGGAUAUGUAACCACCACUCCAAGAACAGGAUAACUAGUAGGCAAGAUGUGUGGCGGGGAGCAAGAACAGCUACAACAAUACUUCAACCACCCCACCAACAACACCCCCACCCCCACCACCCCAGCGAAAACCAGUCCAGCACAGGGAUGGGGGAGGCGGCAGGUGGUGGGGGAACCUGUGUGACAAGUGUGCUCCCUCCCCUCUUCCCCUUCCUCCUCCCCCCGAGUGCUCCCCCAGGGCGGGCAGUGGUCGGUAUAGCGUCUAGACCGGAAGUGUAUCGCCCGGGGCCGUCGAGCCGUCACUCAGCGUCGGGUUCUGCUCUUGCCUGAUGCAGAACAUACACAUUUUCUCCUUUGUUGAACGCCAUAACCGGCGCCAAAUUGCAUGUAUUCUCCGACGCGCCGAAGCGAUAUGGUUGUCUGAUUAUUUUCAUUC